rnacentral:ncRNA from 1 species
UAUUAUUUUUAGCAAAAUCAGCGAAAGCUGAUGACGCAAAGCUUAUGAGUCUACGGCACAUGGUUUCCAUGGAUAGCUACGAUCGUCAGGCUGCAUUC